CCUACGGGAGGCUGCAGUGAGGAAUAUUGGUCAAUGGACGAGAGUCUGAACCAGCCAAGUAGCGUGAAGGAUGACUGCCCUAUGGGUUGUAAACUUCUUUUAUAUGGGAAUAAAACAGGGUAUGCAUACCCUCUUUUAUGUACCAUAUGAAUAAGGAUCGGCUAACUCCGUGCCAGCAGCCGCGGUAAUACGGAGGAUCCGAGCGUUAUCCGAAUUUAUUGGGUUUAAAGGGAGCGUAGGUGGAUUGUUAAGUCAGUUGUGAAAGUUUGCGGCUCAACCGUAAAAUUGCAGUUGAAACUGGCAGUCUUGAGUACAGUAGAGGUGGGCGGAAUUCGUGGUGGAGCGGUGAAAUGCUUAGAUAUCACGAAGAACUCCGAGUGCGAAGGCAGCUCACUGGACUGCAACUGACACUGAUGCUCGAAAGUGUGGGUAUCAAACAGGAUUAGAUACCCUAGUAGUC
rnacentral:rRNA from 1 species